GGCCUGUUCGUCUAAAGGUUAGGACACAACCCUUUCACGGUUGCAAUGUUGAGUUCAAGUCUCACACAGGUCACCA
rnacentral:tRNA from 1 species